CAUUAAGUGACUGAAAGUAAGUAAUGGUCUCUUAAACCAGUAUAUGGUAAUUAACACUCACCCUUAAUG
rnacentral:tRNA from 1 species